GACGUAGGGGGCGAGCGUUGUCCGGAUUUAUUGGGCGUAAAGCGUGCGUAGGCGGCUGCGCAAGUCGGUUGUGAAACCCCGGGGCUCAACCCCGGAACUGCAUCCGAUACUGCGUGGCUAGAGGUAGGUAGGGGGAGAUCGGAAUUCCUGGUGUAGCGGUGAAAUGCGCAGAUAUCAGGAGGAACACCGGUGGCGAAGGCGGAUCUCUGGGCCUUACCUGACGCUCAGGCACGAAAGCCAGGGGAGCAAACGGG
rnacentral:rRNA from 1 species